rnacentral:rRNA from 1 species
UACGGAGGGUGCGAGCGUUAAUCGGAAUUACUGGGCGUAAAGCGCACGCAGGCGGCUUGUUAAGCUAGAGGUGAAAGCCCCCGCGCUCAAACGUGGGGAACUGCCUUUAGAACUGGCAGGCUAGAGUCUUGGAGAGGGGAGUGGAAUUCCAGGUGUAGCGGUGAAAAUGCGUAGAUAUCUGGAGGAACAUCAGUGGCGAAGGCGGCUCCCCUGGCCAAAAGACUGACGCUCAUGUGCGAAAAGUGUGGGUAGCGAACAGGAUUAGAUACCCGCGUAGUC